rnacentral:rRNA from 1 species
GACGAACGCUGGCGGCGUGCUUAACACAUGCAAGUCGAACGGAAAGGCCCUGCUCUUGUGGGGUGCUCGAGUGGCGAACGGGUGAGUAACACGUGAGUAACCUGCCCUUGACUUUGGGAUAACUUCAGGAAACUGGGGCUAAUACCGGAUAGGAGCUCCUGCUGCAUGGUGUGGGUUGGAAAGUUUCGGCGGUUGGGGAUGGACUCGCGGCUUAUCAGCUUGUUGGUGGGGUAGUGGCUUACCAAGGUUUUGACGGGUAGCCGGCCUGAGAGGGUUACCGGCCACAUUGGGACUGCGAUACGGCCCAGACUCGUACGGGAGGCAGCAGUGGGGAAUAUUGCACAAUGGGCGGAAGCCUGAUGCAGCAACGCCGCGUGCGGGAUGACGGCCUUCGGGUUGUGAACCGCUUUCGCCUGUGACGAAGCGUGAGUGACGGUAAUGGGUAAAGAAGCACCGGCUAACUACGUG